CAGCUGCAUCCAUUGACAUUGCACCGGAGGCCAUGGAAGUCCUUCAGCUGGGUGUAUGUGGGCUCCGUGUUCUGGGAAUGAAGUGUCUGCUUCCUGCACUGAGUUACCUUGCAGCAUCUGUGUUGGGGGCCCUGAAAGCCUCCUCACCAGCCAAGUCCCUCUGGAGCUCUCUGGAGCAGGGGGCCUCCUUGUCUUUGUUGCCUGGGGAAGACCUAUGGAGGAAAGAAAUGGAAGUUAACCAUGCAGCAGCCAUUCACACUCAGGUGUGGGCUGUUACCUCAUCCUCAAACGCCAGCUGUCUCCACGGAGCUUAAAACCUGCUACUGGGCCGGGUGCAGUGGCUCACGCCUAUAACCCAGCAUUUUGAGAGGCCGAGGCAAGAGGAUCACUUGAGCCAGGAGUUCAAGACCAGCCUGAGAAACACAGCUAGACUCCAUCUCCACAAAAAUAUUUUUGAAAGUUAGUCAGGAGUGGUGGUGUGUGCCUGUGGUCCCAGCUACUUGGGAGGUUGAACCUGGAAGGUUGAGGCUGCAGCGAGCUGUGAUGGCACCACUGCACUUGAGCCUGGGCACACACAGCAAGAUGCUGUCUUAAAAAACAGAACCAAAAACAAACAAACCCUGCUGAUUGACAGAUUGGCCAAUUAUCAAAACUUCAUUACUAAUAGCUACUGUUUUUUGUUUUUUGUUGUUGUUGUUUUAUAGCUACUGUGCUGGGAUUACAGGUGUGAGCCACUGUGCCUGGCAAUAGCUACUGUUGAUUGAGCAUUUGAGCCUGUUCUCGUGACUUUAUAUGCAUUAACUCUGCAAAUCAACCCCAGGAUAUGGGCACUGUUAUCACCCAUGCCCAUCUUUCAGAUGAGCAAACGGAGGCACACAAAGCCCCUGUGAUUUGCCCCAAAUUUCACAGGUCCUCAGGGAGCCCCAUGUUGUCAAAUCCAGGAGAGACAGUCCCAUCAUUAUUUCAAACCACCAUUCAGUACUGCUGACCCAGUGGGCCACUCCAGCCUUCUCACCACCCCUCCUCCCUUGAUCCUGUCAACACCACCUGCCUACCUCCCUGGCCACACACCUUCCUGGUCUCCGCCUUUUUCUCCUCCCUUUGGCGUGCUCCACCACUUGCUGGGCUGUCUCCUCCCCUCCCAAGGUGUCAACUGCCACCCUUGAAGCAGGGAUCUCCACUUGUUCCUGCCUCUCCUUUAUACUGGCCUGCACACCCACUAACUCCCAACUGGCCCUCAGGAGGCCCACUCUCAACAUGGCGAGAAGAGACUGCCCUCGCCCAGCUGUCCCCAGGAGGGCUGGCCAGGUGGCUGCCACCUGCAUACUGAGGUCGGUGCCCAGCUUCCAUUGGCUCACCAUGAGCCCCAUGUAAAGCUAGUUUACGCUCAUGAUUUCAGCUCUAUUCUGUCUGCAUAUAACGUGGAAAUCUCUUGAGCCCUAAUCACUCUCUCAAACCUCAAUCACAAACCUUAAAAUACCUCCCUCCUGGAAAUUUUGACUUCAAUGCCUACGAAUAAACUCGUCAAAUGAGUUCACU
rnacentral:lncRNA from 10 species